AGAGUUUGAUCCUGGCUCAGGAUGAACGCUAGCGACAGGCCUAACACAUGCAAGUCGAGGGGCAGCAUUUCUAGCUUGCUAGAAGAUGGCGACCGGCGCACGGGUGAGUAACGCGUAUGCAACCUACCUUAUACUGGGGGAUAGCCCAGAGAAAUCUGGAUUAAUACCGCAUAACAAUGUUUUAUCGCAUGGUAAGAUAUUUAAAACUCCGGUGGUAUAAGAUGGGCAUGCGUAGCAUUAGUUAGUUGGUGAGGUAACGGCUCACCAAGACAAUGAUGCUUAGGGGGUCUGAGAGGAUAGUCCCCCACACUGGUACUGAGACACGGACCAGACUCCUACGGGAGGCAGCAGUGAGGAAUAUUGGUCAAUGGACGCAAGUCUGAACCAGCCAUGUCGCGUGCAGGAUGACGGCCCUAUGGGUUGUAAACUGCUUUUUUACAGGAAUAAUUGUCUCUACGUGUAGAGAUUUGAAUGUACUGUAUGAAUAAGGAUCGGCUAACUCCGUGCCAGCAGCCGCGGUAAUACGGAGGAUUCGAGCGUUAUCCGGAUUUAUUGGGUUUAAAGGGUCCGUAGGCGGUCUUUUAAGUCAGUGGUGAAAUCCCAGAGCUCAACUCUGGAACUGCCAUUGAAACUGAAAGACUUGAAUAUGGUUGAGGUAGGCGGAAUACGUUAUGUAGCGGUGAAAUGCAUAGAUAUAACGUAGAACACCAAUUGCGAAGGCAGCUUACUAAACCAUUAUUGACGCUGAUGGACGAAAGCGUGGGGAGCGAACAGGAUUAGAUACCCUGGUAGUCCACGCCGUAAACGAUGAUUACUCGUUGUGCACAAUACACCGUGCGUGACUUAGCGAAAGCAUUAAGUAAUCCACCUGGGGAGUACGUUCGCAAGAAUGAAACUCAAAGGAAUUGACGG
rnacentral:rRNA from 1 species